AAACCACACAAUUACACGAAUAACCGUUUUGCUAAUAUUAUGAAGAAUUCAUGCAAAAACAUCACCUAUGGGAUCUUGAAAAUAUUAAGCUUAUUUUAAUUUAUUGUUAAAUACAAAACAAAAUAGGACAUUCAAUAUCAAUAAAACUAUUAAAUGUGGAAAUGAAAGUCAUUGUUAUCAGGAAUGGAAACACAAUCGCAUGGCAUGGAUUUUAUUAAAAGGAAAACAGAGCUUGGAGUAGGAAAUAUAUUGUCCUACAUAUUUCAAUUCAGAAACUAAAGAUCAAUAGAUAGGGAAAGAUAGAGAUUCUAUGCACACUUGAAGCCUUCAGGAACCUGUUUCCCACAUGCACUAAGAAGCAAACUAAUAGCAACAGGUGCUUGAAGUUUGACACCUCCUAGUACACUAGUCUUUAUAGCAGUGCAUAAGCACAAUGCAGCUUCAAGAUCCGCGACACCUUUAAUGAUGGUACAGCAUUCCUUGCUUGGUUUAGUCCCUACAACCUCGUGAACCAACCCUAACCAGCUGCCACAAACACCAAACUUCAGGGUAUCCGCGGGGCAUUUGGCCUGCUUCUUUGGUACGGUGGGAGGUGAUGGCGACGGCACUUUUGGAGGAGAACAUGCUGGUACCUUGUGUGAGGAAACGCAAGCGAGAAAUUUGAGAUUAAGGAGAAUUAAAAGAGCCCCUGCCUUAGAACCCAUUUAACAGUAGCUGCACGGUAUUGUCAAGAAAAUUAAGAUGGAAUGAUUAAGAAAGAAGAAAGAUCUUGUAGAUUUUAUAGCACAUAAUUAUGAAAGAACAGCGACCCCCAUGUGGUGUGGGUGCAUGGCAGUUGUGGCUAGCAUUGAGCAAUGAAAAGUGUUAAAGCUAGAUUUUUAAUGUGGAGUGCGA
rnacentral:misc_RNA from 1 species